GUCCAGUUGACGAGUCCCAAAUAGGACGAAACGCGUGUCCUGGAU
rfam:Schistosoma curassoni strain Dakar, Senegal genome assembly, scaffold: SCTD_scaffold0004693